rnacentral:rRNA from 1 species
UACGGAGGGGGCAAGCGUUAUUCGAAAUUAUUGGGCGUAAAGGGCGCGUAGGCGGCUAGAUGUGUCAAAGGUGAAAUCCCUCGGCUCAACUGAGGAACUGCCUUUGAAACUGUCUGGCUUGAGGCCGGGAGAGGGUAGCGGAAUUCCCAGUGUAGCGGUGAAAUGCGUAGAUAUUGGGAGGAACACCAGUGGCGAAGGCGGCUACCUGGACCGGUUCUGACGCUGAAGCGCGAAAGCGUGGGUAGCAAACAGG